UCCUUGAAAACUCAGAACAGAGAAGCAGCAGCUUUGUGGUAUUACUACUCGCUAUGCCUGAAAUGGAGUGCAGAAGAGUCUUGAAUAGGUACGAAAACAUGUAUUAAAUAUCCUACAAAAGGGAUGUCUGAAGAGAGCUGGAAGUGAGCUGAGGCUGCAGGAGCUGUGCUUGUUUAAAGAAAGGUUAAAAGACAAAAACAGGAUGCAAAGUCUUGCCCAGGUUCACACAAAUUGGAAAAUUGGUGGAAGACUGAAUUGUAAGAAAGACAAUGCCAAUGACAGAAACAGAGAGAGAAAUUUACACGAUUAGAUCAAAUAAAAAUAAAAGUAUGAAUGCCAC